rnacentral:misc_RNA from 1 species
ACAGAUUGUUGUCCUUUGACAGGUUGUCUCGCGCAAGCUUUAUUCGUGAUAUUUUAUAUAUUCCAGUAAACUAGUGAAGUGAAAAAUACAGGGGAUCGUUUCAACGAUGUCGGACAACGCGGAUCUGUACAGACUGGAAGGAACCAGCGACAAACAGGAAGGAGGUUUGGUUAUACGUAAGAAAACGUCGGACCAUACCUUUAAGAAGCCACAGUCGUCACUUUUCGGCUUGGACAAAUUGGCAGAGAGCAAGAGAAGAAAAGCCUCGCAGGAAGCUAGCAAGGGGACGGUACCCGAGUGUUCCUCGAGUGAAUUAGAUUACAAGGACAGGAAGUACCGUGCCCAUGCAGAGGAAACUCCAACGUACACCGGGGGUGUAAAUAAGGAGGCACAAAAUCGUAUGGAAUCACGAUUAAAGAGGCAGAGGCUAGAUGCCCGGGACAAGCAAGCCAAAGACGCUCGGAGCAAGAAUGAUAGACACCGAGAAUGGAAUAGUGACCGAGACCGUAGUUGGAGAGACAGCGGUAAACAGACUCCAUACAGAUUCAAGGACGAACCACAAACACCGAAGUUCCGCAUGAAGGAUCCUACGUCAAAAAGCAACUGGGACGACGACGAGGAUGAGGAACCUAGACGAUCUAGUUGGGACCAUCCAACACCGAAAAUAUAUGGUUCUAGAGAGCCAAGGGACAGCAUCAGAAGUGAAUUUACACCGUCGUACAAGUACAACCCUUGGCAUAAGGAACACAAACCUUCUGGAACUACUCCUCAAAUAGAUGGCGAGGACAAGGAGCUGUGGGAAGAAGAGCAACAGAGGCUCGACCGUGAAUGGUACGCAUUGGGUGACGGCGAAAAUCGUCCCUUCUCUGACGUGUCAGAGGAGUACACAAAAAAGAAAGAAAUGGAAUUGGAGGCACGUCGCGAGAGACGCGUAUCUGCCCAACAGCGGCAGAUAAACAAGGACAACGAGCUGUGGGAGCGAAAUAGGAUGCUCACGUCGGGUGUCGUAAGUUCCAUCGACCAUGACGACGACCCGGAUGAUGAGGGGGAAGCUAGAGUUCAUCUUUUGGUGCACAAUGUAGUUCCACCCUUUCUGGAUGGACGAAUCGUCUUCACAAAGCAGCCAGAACCAGUGGUGCCGGUGCGAGACCCGAGCUCUGACAUGGCCCUAGUUGCAAGGAAAGGUUCAGCAUUGGUUCGGUUUUAUCGUGAGCAAAAGGAGCGACGUAGAGCUCAAAGGAAGCACUGGGAAUUAGCUGGAACUCAUAUAGGAAACAUCAUGGGAGUUCGAAAGGAUGGACAGAAAGGAGCCGAUGGAGAACAAUUCGAACAAGACACGGAUUUUAAAGCGGGUCAAAAAUAUGCUAAGCACAUCGGAGCUGGUGAGGUAACCGGAGAAGCUCGCCACCGAUCGAUUCAGCAACAAAGAAGGAGUUUGCCAGUGUUUGCAGUGCGGCAAGAACUACUUAACGUUAUCAGAGAAAACAGUGUUGUAGUGAUCGUGGGGGAAACGGGUAGCGGAAAAACAACCCAGUUAUCGCAAUACCUUCACGAGGAUGGCUACAGUCGAUACGGCAUCGUUGGUUGCAGCCAGCCGCGACGUGUAGCUGCAAUGUCUGUGGCCAAAAGGGUCUCCGACGAGAUGGCUACGACUCUUGGAGACAAAGUUGGCUACGCCAUACGUUUCGAGGACUGCACAUCUAAGGAGACUGUCAUCAAGUACAUGACCGAUGGUAUCUUGCUGCGAGAGAGUCUUCGAGAGGGUGACUUGGAUCGCUACAGCGUAAUCAUCAUGGACGAAGCUCACGAACGUUCUCUAUCCACCGACGUGCUGUUUGGCUUGCUUCGUGAGGUGGUGGCAAGGAGGCACGACCUGAAGUUGAUUGUCACGUCCGCUACAAUGGACUCGAGUAAAUUCUCGGCAUUCUUCGGCAAUGCGGCGACCUUCGAGAUCCCGGGCAGGACCUUCCCGGUGGAGAUUUUACACGCAAAGAACCCGGUCGAGGAUUACGUGGACGCGGCGGUGAAGCAGGUUCUCCAGAUCCACCUGCAACCGAGGAGCGGCGACGUUCUCGUCUUUAUGCCUGGCCAGGAGGACAUCGAGGUGACCUGCGAGGCCCUGAAGGAGCGUCUGGCGGAGAUCGAGUCGGCGCCGCCUUUGUCGAUCCUCCCGAUUUACUCCCAGCUCCCGUCGGACCUCCAAGCGAAGAUCUUCCAGCGGGCGGAGGGCGGGUACAGGAAGUGCGUCGUGGCCACCAACAUUGCGGAGACCUCGCUCACCGUCGACGGUAUCGUCUUCGUGGUCGACUCGGGGUACUGCAAGCUCAAGGUGUACAAUCCGAGAAUCGGCAUGGACGCGCUGCAGGUGUACCCCGUGUCCAAGGCCAACGCCGACCAGCGAGCCGGAAGAGCUGGCAGAACCGGGCCAGGACACUGCUACCGACUUUACACCAGGAGGCAGUACCUGGACGAGCUCCUCUCAACGGGCGUUCCGGAAAUCCAGCGGACGAACCUGGCCAACACGGUCCUCCUUCUGAAAUCUCUCGGCGUCCAGGACCUCCUCGCUUUCCACUUCAUGGACCCGCCGCCACAGGACAACAUCUUGAACUCCCUGUAUCAGCUUUGGAUCCUGGGCGCCCUCGACAACACCGGACGACUCACUCCUCUCGGUCGACAAAUGGCGGAAUUCCCGUUGGACCCUCCACAGUGUCAGAUGUUGAUCGUCGCCUCUCAGCUCGGCUGCACGGCGGACAUCCUCAUUAUAGUGUCCAUGCUUUCCGUGCCUUCUAUCUUCUACCGGCCGAAGGGUCGCGAGGAGGACUCCGACUCGGCGAGGGAGAAGUUCCAGGUGCCGGAGUCCGACCAUCUCACCUACCUCAACGUCUACAACCAGUGGAAGUCGAACGGAUAUUCGAGUUCCUGGUGCAACGAGCACUUCAUUCACGCAAAGGCGAUGCGCAAGGUCAGAGAGGUGCGCCAGCAGCUGGAGGAGAUCUUGAAGCAGCAGAAGAUGGAGGUGAUCAGCUGCGGCACCGACUGGGACGUUGUCAGGAAGUGCAUCUGCUCGGCGUACUUCCACCAGGCCGCCAGGUUGAAAGGCAUCGGGGAGUACGUGAAUUGUCGCACAGGAAUGCCUUGCCACCUGCACCCGACCUCGGCUCUCUUCGGCAUGGGCUUCACUCCGGAUUACGUGGUCUACCACGAGCUGGUGAUGACCGCCAAGGAGUACAUGCAGUGCGUAACCGCCGUGGAUGGCCAUUGGUUGGCGGAACUGGGACCCAUGUUCUUCAGCGUUAAGGAGACCGGUCGCAGCGGUCGAGCUAAAAGGCAGCAAGCGAUGCAGCAUCUCCACGAGAUGGAGGGCCAGAUGAAGGAGGCGGAGGAGGAGAUGAAGGCCAGGGCACAGGAACAGCUGGAACGGGAGCUGGCCUCCGUCAAGAAAAAAGAAAUCCUGACACCUGGUGUCAGGGAGCCUGGGACUCCAGCACCUUAUCGGAAGACCCCAGGUCGACUUGGUCUGUGAAGGCUGUCGAUGCAACUGUGAUAUAAUGGACUUAGGGUACUCCGUCUUCCAUGAGCCAGGAGUACCUGAAUUACGUGGAGUCUUCGGAAUCCGAAUCGUCGAAGAACCCAGUGUAGCUCUCCUUCGUGUCGACGAA